GGCUGCAUGGUCUAGUGGAUAGGACGCUACUCUGUCACAGUAGAGAUACGAGUUCGAUUCUCGUUGUAGCCG
rnacentral:tRNA from 2 species